UCGCGGCUUAUCACCGGCAGUCCCCUUAGAGUGCUCAACUAAAUGAUGGCAACUAGAGGCAAGGGUUGCGCUCGUUGCGGGACUUAACCCAACAUCUCACGACACGAGCUGACGACAGCCAUGCAGCACCUGAACCAGAGGUCCCCGAUGGGAAAACCCUAUUUCUAGGGCUGUCCUCUGUUGUCUAGCCCGGGUAAGGUUCUUCGCGUUGCGUCGAAUUGAACCACAUGCUCCACCGCUUGUGCGGGCCCCCGUCAAUUCCUUUGAGUUUCAGCCUUGCGGCCGUACUCCCCAGGCGGGGCACUUAAUGCGUUAGCGCCGGCACCCAGGGGGUCGCUCCCCCAGGCACCUAGUGCCCAUCGUUUACGGCGUGGACUAC
rnacentral:misc_RNA from 1 species